rnacentral:rRNA from 1 species
AUUGAACGCUAGCGGGAUGCUUUACACAUGCAAGUCGAACGAGUGGCGGACGGGUGAGUAAUAUAUCGGAACGUGCCCAGUAGCGGGGGAUAACUACUCGAAAGAGUGGCUAAUACCGCAUACUAUUGGAGCGGCCGCUAUCGGAUGAGCUCUUGGGUGGGGUAAAGGCGCACCAAGGCAACGAUCCGUAGCUGGUUUGCGAGGACGACCAGCCACACGUAGACUGAGAAACGGCCCAGACUCCUACGGGCGGCAGCAGUGGGGAAUUUUGGACAAUUGGGGAAGCCCUGAUCCAGCCAUGCCGGUUGUAUGAGAAGGCCCUAGGGUUGUAAAGUACUUUCAGUCGGGAGGCGUUACCGACAGAAGAAGCACCGGCUAACUCCGUGCCAGCAGCCGCGGUAAUAC